rnacentral:lncRNA from 1 species
CGAUCAUUUUCUCAAUGGCUCGUCUUGACCGUGUGAAGAACAUGACAGGCUUGGUUGAGAUGUAUGGUAAGAAUGCACGCCUGAGGGAAUUGGCAAACCUUGUGAUUGUUGCUGGUGACCAUGGCAAGGAGUCUAAGGACAGGGAGGAGCAGGCAGAGUUCAAGAGGAUGUACAGUCUCAUUGAUCAGUACAACUUGAAGGGCCAUAUCCGGUGGAUCUCAGCUCAGAUGAACCGUGUCCGCAAUGCGGAGUUGUACCGCUACAUUUGUGACACGAAGGGAGCAUUUGUUCAGGUAUGUAUACACACUUGAUCUAAUAAGUUACUUCCAAGUUCCUAUAAUGGUGCUCACUACUUUCAGAUAACAACAGCCAUAGAAUGUGUGCAGGACUGAAUUCAUGUAUCACUUUGUUUUUGUAGCCUGCAUUCUAUGAAGCGUUUGGCUUGACUGUUAUUGAGUCCAUGACAUGUGGUUUGCCAACAAUUGCUACCUGCCAUGGUGGCCCUGCUGAAAUCAUUGUGGACGGGGUGUCUGGUUUGCACAUUGAUCCUUACCACAGUGACAAGGCUGCAGAUAUCUUGGUCAACUUCUUUGACAAGUGCAAGGCGGAUCCAAGCUACUGGGACAAGAUUUCACAGGGAGGCCUGCAGAGAAUUUACGAGAAGUAUGUACUUUUUCUAUCCUGCUGUCUACAAUAAAGAUAUAAAUUGACAUGAACUGAAGAAAUUCAGAUAUUAUAGAGUAACAUGUGCUUGUUCAAUGAUGCCACAACAUAAAAAACUUUCCAUGAUGUAUUAGAUAUUUUUGUGUGGCUCUUCUCUAGCCGUGUAAGUCCAGAUACUAAAAGUUUUGGAUUGCUCAGGUACACCUGGAAGCUGUACUCUGAGAGGCUGAUGACCCUGACUGGUGUGUACGGAUUCUGGAAGUAUGUGAGCAACCUGGAGAGGCGCGAGACUCGCCGCUACCUUGAAAUGUUCUACGCUCUGAAAUACCGUAGCCUGGUAAGUUAUUUGAUGACAGUUUAGAGACCACAUCUCAAGCAAUGAGUGUUCAUUCCACCAAUCUUAAAUAACCUGAUCAGCUAAUACAUCUCUUUCUUGAAUCCAGGCAAGCGCUGUUCCAUUGUCCUUCGAUUAGUGCAUCAAGCGGGAGAACCAUCGGCUGCAUUACAAUUACAAUUGUUUACCGCAAUUCGCAUUGUCAGUAGUGUGUUUGAGUUAUGUGUACUUGAUUUCCAAUCACUUGGUUACAUUUUCGCGAGGUUUUGGGCGGCGCAGGCUGGUUCCUGCUCUAGGAUACUAGCUGCACCUUUUGCUUCAAAUAA